rnacentral:rRNA from 1 species
AUAAGCAAUUAUACAGCGAAACUGCGAAUGGCUCAUUAUAUAAGUUAUCGUUUAUUUGAUAGUACCUUACUACUUGGAUAACCGUGGUAAUUCUAGAGCUAAUACAUGCUAAAAAUCCCGACUUCGGAAGGGAUGUAUUUAUUAGAUUAAAAACCAAUGCCCUCCGGGGCUCCUUGGUGAUUCAUGAUAACUCCUCGAAUCGCACGGCCUUGCGCCGGCGAUGGUUCAUUCAAAUUUCUUCCCUAUCAACUUUCGAUGUUUGGGUAUUGGCCAAACAUGGUUGCAACGGGUAACGGAGGGUUAGGGCUCGACCCCGGAGAAGGAGCCUGAGAAACGGCUACUACAUCCAAGGAAGGCAGCAGGCGCGCAAAUUACCCAAUGCCAAAUCGGCGAGGUAGUGACAAUAAAUACUGAUACAGGGCUCUUUUGGGUCUUGUAAUUGGAAUGAGUACAAUUUAAAUCCCUUAACGAGGAACAAUUGGAGGGCAAGUCUGGUGCCAGCAGCCGCGGUAAUUCCAGCU